rnacentral:ncRNA from 2 species
GCUCACGGCCUGGGGUGCCACGCAUGGUGCGUGGCUGAGAUCACACCCGUCGAACCUGUCUGGGUCAUGCCAGCGAAGGGAGCCGCCGAUGGCAGCUUUU